GUUGGGGGGAAUUAUUGCACCAAUUGGGCGAAAGCUUGAUGCAGCGACGCGCGUGGAGGGAUGACCGCCUUCGGGUGUAAACUCUUUCAGCAGGACGAAAGCGCAAGUGACGGUACUGCAGAAGAAGCACCGGGCCAACUACGUGCCAGCAGCCGCGGUAAUACGUAGGGUGCGAGCGUUGUCCGGGAAUUACUGGGCGUAAAGAGCUCGUAGGCGGUUUGUCGCGUCGUCUGUGAAAACCCGCAGCUCAACUGCGGGCUUGCAGGCGAUACGGGCAGACUUGAGUACUGCAGGGGAGACUGGAAUUCCUGGUGUAGCGGUGAAAUGCGCAGAUAUCAGGAGGAACACCGGUGGCGAAGGCGGGUCUCUGGGCAGUAACUGACGCUGAGGAGCGAAAGCGUGGGUAGCGAACAGGAUUAGAUACCCUGGUAGUCCACGCCGUAAACGGUGGGCGCUAGGUGUGGGUUUCCUUCCACGGGAUCCGUGCCGUAGCUAACGCAUUAAGCGCCCCGCCUGGGGAGUACGGCCGCAAGGCUAAAACUCAAAGGAAUUGACGGGGGCCCGCACAAGCGGCGGAGCAUGUGGAUUAAUUCGAUGCAACGCGAAGAACCUUACCUGGGUUUGACAUAUACCGGAUCGCCUCAGAGAUGGGGUUUCCCUUGUGGUCGGUAUACAGGUGGUGCAUGGCUGUCGUCAGCUCGUGUCGUGAGAUGUUGGGUUAAGUCCCGCAACGAGCGCAACCCUUGUCCUGUGUUGCCAGCAAGUAAUGUUGGGGACUCGCAGGAGACUGCCGGGGUCAACUCGGAGGAAGGUGGGGACGACGUCAAGUCAUCAUGCCCCUUAUGUCCAGGGCUUCACACAUGCUACAAUGGCCGGUACAGAGGGCUGCGAUACCGUGAGGUGGAGCGAAUCCCUUAAAGCCGGUCUCAGUUCGGAUCGGGGUCUGCAACUCGACCCCGUGAAGUCGGAGUCGCUAGUAAUCGCAGAUCAGCAACGCUGCGGUGAAUACGUUCCCGGGCCUUGUACACACCGCCCGUCACGUCAUGAAAGUCGGUAACACCCGAAGCCGGUGGCCUAACCCCUUGUGGGAGGGAGCCGUCGA
rnacentral:rRNA from 1 species